AGCAGCCGCGGUAAUUCCAGCUCCAAUAGCGUAUAUUAAAGUUGUUGCAGUUAAAAGCUCGUAGUUGAACUUCGGGGUUUACCCAUUGGUCAGGCUUAAUUGUCUGUACUGGUGAGAUGAAUCUCUACCUUCUGAGGAACUUUCAUGCCAUUUAUUUGGUGUGAUUGGAAGUCAGGACUGUUACUUUGAAAAAUUAGAGUGUUUAAAGCAGGCAACGUCUGAAUACAUUAGCAUGGAAUAAUGAGAUAGGACGGACUGAUUCUAUUUCGUUGGUUUCUAGGAUCACCGUAAUGAUUAAUAGGGAUAGUCGGGGGCAUUAGUAUUCAAUUGUCAGAGGUGAAAAUUCUUGGAUUCAUUGAAGACUAACUACUGCGAAAAGCAUUCGCCAAAGGAUGUUUUCAUUAAUCAAGAACGAAAGUUAGGGGAUCGAAGACUGAUCAGAUACCGUCGUAGUCUUAACCAGUAAAACUAUGCCGACUAGGGAUCGGACGAAGUUAAUUUAUAAAUGACGCGUUCGGCA
rnacentral:rRNA from 1 species